rnacentral:rRNA from 1 species
UACGUAGGUGGCGAGCGUUGUCCGGAUUUACUGGGCGUAAAGGGAGCGUAGGCGGACUUUUAAGUGAGAUGUGAAAUACCCGGGCUCAACUUGGGUGCUGCAUUUCAAACUGGAAGUCUAGAGUGCAGGAGAGGAGAAUGGAAUUCCUAGUGUAGCGGUGAAAUGCGUAGAGAUUAGGAAGAACACCAGUGGCGAAGGCGAUUCUCUGGACUGUAACUGACGCUGAGGCUCGAAAGCGUGGGGAGCAAACAGGAUUAGAUACCCGUAGUCC